ensembl:lncRNA
AUGGAAGCUGUAGUUGGACUGUUGUUGAUGAUGUGUGGAGUUUCUCAUGGUGUGGAAACCUACUGUAAUGGCAGACAGAAUGGGACUCAGUGUUAUGAAGCUUUGGGAAGAACUGUGGACAUCCAACUGAUGAACCAUAGCUUAGAAAUUCCAAGAUAUACGCUGUCAAGGAAUUCAGUAAAUGUACUACUAGAUGUCAAAAAUAAUACAGUUAUUCGUAAUGUCGCAGAACAUAGAUCUCUCUUUAUUCCCACCAAUGCAACAUUUAGGAUCAAUAACCUAAACAGGAAUGACAGUGAUAAUUAUACCCUUCAAACUUUUGAUUCAAAUGGAAGAUCAUUAGGCGUAUGGACUUUACAGUUGUUUAUUCAAGCUCCUGUGUCCUCUGUCCUGCUGGUCUCUGAGUGUCUGUCCCAGGGAGAGAUGAGGGUGUCCUGCUCCUCUGAGGGAGGGGACAGUCCUCAGUACAGCUGGACUCUGGAUGGACGCACACUGACAGAUGCUGAGCUCCUUUCUGGAAAUAACAAGACUAACAACAUCACUCUGAAACAGCACGUCUCAGGACAUCUGGUCUGCUCAGUCAGGAACAACGUCAGUGAUGUCUCCAAAGAACAGUGGAUAGCUACCUGUGAAGCAGAUUUUUUGCCACUGAUCGGUGGUGUGGUUUCAGCACUGCUCAUUUUAUUAGUUGUGGGUGUAGCACUUGUCUGUGUUCAGAGGAAAAAACAAAAGAACAAAUCAACAAAAAAAGCAGAGAAAGAAGACCAAGAAGUAAUGUAUGCUGAUGUCAGGGUCAUGCAGCAGCAGGGCAAGCCAGUGGAUGAAGGAGGAGAAGAGGUGUUGUAUGGCCAAGUCAAGUUUUCAUAGUGAUCUCAUCACUCUGAACAGGAUUGUGAUUGAACAGGCAUGUUUAUAUGUCAACAUUCCCAAAAAAUCAGUGAUGUCAAAAUGCAUAAAUGUCUUUUCGCGUGAUUUCCUAUCAGAAAAAUAUAAACCAUCAAAACGUAUGAAUACUGAUUUUCUGUGCUUCAUUUGUAUUUCUGUAAUAUAACACAACAUAAAUUCACCAAGUCAUAGAAUCGUGUUUGUGUUUAAUUGCAAAUACUGUAAAUGUUUUUAAACUGAAGAAGGUUCUCAGCAGACGAAACUUGAACAAGUCCAGUCUCUUUUCUUUCCAGUCUCCCUAGAUUACAAUGACCCUGAUGACUGAGAACCUACACAGAGUAUUAUAGAUUUGAGCACUGUCAAAUGCUGAAUAUCUUGUCCGCUUAUUUGUUCUUACAGUAACUUAGAAGCCAGGUGGUAGGAAGAUCCAGGCGAGAAAACUUUGACUUCCAGUAGGAAUUAGAAAGCAGUGCCUAUGCGUCACAGUAGAUAUUUAUUUUACAUAGCAAUGCUAUUUAGGUCUUUUUCUCAACAAAAAAAAAUCCUGCACCUACAAGAGAAGAGGAUGGUCAGAUUAUUACUGUAGGAAAAGAGUUAGGCAUGUAUUUCUCAUUGCCUUUUGUUCAGGUUGCGAGAGGUUAGAGAUGACUGGUAGGUAAUGUAGCUCAAGGUGAACAUUUUAUUUGUACUGUAUACAAAUUCUGCAGAAUCUGACAGAAAUCUGCAACUAUCCUUUGAAGCACCGCUCCUCUAAAACAGCAAUAAGGAUCAUUAUUAGGUUAUUUACAUUAUUAUGUAAAUAACAAAAUAACUGUUGGGUCUGUUCCCACAAACCCCGCUAGUUCUAGAGACUUAUUCAUCAUGAAAGAAAACAAGACAGUCAGCGAUCGAUCGAUUACUUGCGCAAGGGAGGCCUCAUCUGUGUCCAGCACGAAAAUGACCCCCCCGAUGGCCUCCUCCUGCUGCCUUUUAUUGAGAGACAGUUCACACAAAACACAGCAAGCAACGCCCACAUGGUUCUAAGGCAUUGUAUGUAUAUGUGUGUGAACCUUUAUAUGUAAGUAGGAAUGUGUGUGUGUGUGUGUGAGACCUCCUGCUGACCAAAGGGUCGUAAAAGCAGGAAGCUUACGACACAAGAAACAGAUCUUUCAGAUAGGAUGUAUCUACAGUAAAACCUCCCCCAGCACAAAGUGGUUAGAGGUGCUCAGGAUCAAAGGAAUGGCUUUGAUAAUACUGCUUGAACUAAGACUGUACAAAUUUAAGAAACACAAUGGCAACAUUCAACAAUUAGACCUAACAAUAACUUAAAGCAAAAAUUGGGAAACGUAAAGUCUGAAGUCUUUAUAUUAAGGACCAUCAGUCAAACAAUACUGUUUGCUCUGGGUCUAAACAGAGCGCGUUGUGUGUGACGUCUUCUUUUGCACAAGCGGGCUGUUUUGAGGGUUCACACUAGAGCGCGUUUGCUGUCGCAUUUUAGUGUGAACAAGCAGACAAAAAAAUCGGAUUUGAUCAAAAAAUCGGAAUUGAGCAUUGAGACCUGCAGUGUGAACGUAGCCUUAGUGUUAAUGUCAUUUAAUUUAUAUUAUGUUUAUUAUAGCAUCAUUUUCCUUUAAACCACAUGGGUGAUAUUGCAUGACACUGUUUAAACUUACGUGAGCAAAAA